rnacentral:rRNA from 1 species
CAAACGUUCAUAGUUGACUGCGGAGUGCAGGGCUGCAGGGUGUUCGUCGCUGCGGGCAGUCGGUCUCCUCGUUCGGGAGUGGGGGGGGUCUCUCGCGGGCCCUGCCCCUCUCCCUUCGGCGGGGGGCGGACGUCCGUGCCGGCGAACAACAAAACCUCUGCAGAGCGUCCCUGUGCUCGCCGUAUGCGGAACCGAGUCCCCUUCGGAGAUCUCCUUGAAUGGUGGCCGAAGCGACGACGACCGACCGGCACGUCUUCCUGCGGCAAGCGGCGGCGGCGGCGACCACGUCGUCGCCGCUGUCGAUCCCAGGCGUCUCCGGGGCGUCCGUGGCUGCUACCGUGAACAACACAUCGCGCUUCAGGCAACCGACAGUGUCAGUCGCACGUCACAGCAUGGAAUAGCGAGGGAUCGACCAAGCUGGGAUCUGUCUUCUGUUGGUUUUGGAGGCCCACAUGGGCAAUGCGACACGGCGCCCCUCCGGCGACAAUGGCCCCUCGAACCGCCGCCGAUGUUGCGAGCGGCGUCCCCCGCCUCUCGCACUCUCUCCUCGACUCGACGACCUUCGCGGGUCGACGACAAGGGAGGAGGGCGAGCGGGUAGGGGGGCCCGUCCUGUGCCCGGCGGCCUCGGGGCGGUUCGCCGUCGCCGGAGCGCGGAGCAUGUCGAUCGGAACGAACGGGAGCCCUUCGGGGUGGAGCGUAUCGGGCAGCUAGAGGUGAAAUUCUUAGAUCUGCCCGAGACGACCCGCGGCGAAGGCGCUCUGCCAGCUCGGCUCCGUCAAUCAAAGAACGAGAGUGUGGGGAUCGAAGAUGAUCAGAUACCGUCGUAGUCCACUACCGUAAACUGUGCCGGCUUGGCAUAGGGAGAGUAUUCUGCCUGCAGACAUGUCUCGACCGGUUCCAACCCAUGCAAACGAGAAAUUCAAGCCUUUGGGUUCAGGGGGGAGUACCGUCGCAAGGCUGAAACUUAAAGGAAUUGACGGAAUGGCACCACAAGGCGUGGAGUCUGUGGCUCAAUUUGACUCAACACGGGGAAACUUACCUGGUCAGGAUGCUGCAAGGAUUGACAGAUUGCGAGCUCUCUCUUGAUUCAUUGGACGGUGGUGCAUGGCCGCUCCUGGUUGGUGAUGCAAAUUGUCUGGUUGAUUCCGAUAACGAGCGAGAUCUCUGCUCUCCAAUAGCCGUCGGUGUCCUCAGCGCGAGGGCGACCCCCCGACACGCGGCGCGCGCCUCGGCGCGCGUCUCGUCGAAGGGUCUAUCACGGUUGCCCUCCCGACGCCGUUCCGCUUCUCUCGGGGGUCCGUGUAGGUCGAAAACCGUUUACUAUUGUAUACACUAGAGUCAACAGCAGGUCUGUGAUGCUCCUAAAUGUCCUGGGCUGCACGCGCACUACACUGACACAGGGAACGAGCUCGUCUCUGCCGCCGACUUUGUGCAGGGGAGUCCCUGACCCGAAAGGGCUGGGCAACCUUGUCAGACUGCGCCGUAUUGGGGAUAGAUGAUUGCAACUGUUUGCCUUGAACAAGGAAUGCCUAGUAGGUGCAGGUCAACAGCCUGCUCCGACUGAGUCCCUGCCAUUUGUACACACCGCCCGUCGUUGCCACCGAUGAAAGCGAGACAGAGAACACAGAAGGCACACCGGCGGCGGGGUGCCUGCGAGAGGGGCAACCCCCUCGCGUCGCCCCCCCCCC